AUUGAACGCUGGCGGCAGGCCUAACACAUGCAAGUCGAGCGGUAACACAGGGAGCUUGCUCCCGGGUGACGAGCGGCGGACGGGUGAGUAAUGUCUGGGAAACUGCCUGAUGGAGGGGGAUAACUACUGGAAACGGUAGCUAAUACCGCAUAACGUCGCAAGACCAAAGAGGGGGACCUUCGGGCCUCUUGCCAUCAGAUGUGCCCAGAUGGGAUUAGCUAGUAGGUGGGGUAAUGGCUCACCUAGGCGACGAUCCCUAGCUGGUCUGAGAGGAUGACCAGCCACACUGGAACUGGGACACGGUCCAGACUCCUACGGGAGGCAGCAGUGGGGAAUAUUGCACAAUGGGCGCAAGCCUGAUGCAGCCAUGCCGCGUGUAUGAAGAAGGCCUUCGGGUUGUAAAGUACUUUCAGCGGGGAGGAAGGUGUUGAGGUUAAUAACCUCAGCAAUUGACGUUACCCGCAGAAGAAGCACCGGCUAACUCCGUGCCAGCCGCCGCGGUAA
rnacentral:rRNA from 1 species